rnacentral:rRNA from 1 species
GGCGUCUAAUACUGGAUAUGAGCCUUCCACGCAUGUGGGGGGUUGGAAAGAUUUUUUGGUUGGGGAUGGGCUCGCGGCCUAUCAGCUUGUUGGUGAGGUAAUGGCUCACCAAGGCGUCGACGGGUAGCCGGCCUGAGAGGGUGACCGGCCACACUGGGACUGAGACACGCCCCAAACUCAUACGGGAGGCAGCAGUGGGGAAUAUUGCACAAUGGGCGGAAGCCUGAUGCAGCAACGCCGCGUGAGGGAUGACGGCCUUCGGGUUGUAAACCUCUUUUAGCAAGGAAGAAGCGAAAGUGACGGUACUUGCAAAAAAAGCGCCGGCUAACUACGUGCCAGCAGCCGCGGUAAUACGUAGGGCGCAAGCGUUAUCCGGAAUUAUUGGGCGUAAAGAGCUCGUAGGCGGUUUGUCGCGUCUGCUGUGAAAUCCCGAGGCUCACCCUCGGGCCUGCAGUGGGUACGGGCUGACUAGAGUGCGGUAGGGGAGAUUGGAAUUCCUGGUGUAGCGGUGGAAUGCGCAGAUAUCAGGAGGAACACCGAUGGC